rnacentral:rRNA from 1 species
UAACGCGAAGAACCUUACCAAGGCUUGACAUACACGAGAACGGGCCAGAAAUGGUCAACUCUUUGGACACUCGUGAACAGGUGGUGCAUGGUUGUCGUCAGCUCGUGUCGUGAGAUGUUGGGUUAAGUCCCGCAACGAGCGCAACCCUCGUUUUAUGUUGCCAGCGCGUAAUGGCGGGAACUCAUAGGAGACUGCCGGGGUCAACUCGGAGGAAGGUGGGGAUGACGUCAAAUCAUCAUGCCCCUUAUGUCUUGGGCUUCACGCAUGCUACAAUGGCCGGUACAAAGGGCUGCAAUACCGUAAGGUGGAGCGAAUCCCAAAAAGCCGGUCUCAGUUCGGAUUGAGGUCUGCAACUCGACCUCAUGAAGUCGGAGUCGCUAGUAAUCGCAGAUCAGCA